UACGUAGGGGGCGAGCGUUGUCCUGAUUUAUUGGGCGUAAAGAGCUCGUAGGUGGUUCGCUAAGUCGGAUGUGAAAUCUCCAAGCUCAACUUGGAGCGGUCAUUCGAUACUGGCGUGACUUGAGUACGGUAGGGGACCACGGAAUUCCUGGUGUAGCGGUGAAAUGCACAGAUAUCAGGAGGAACACCGGUGGCGAAGGCGGUGGUCUGGGCCGUAACUGAUGCUGAGGCGCGAAAGCCAGGGGAGCAAACGGG
rnacentral:rRNA from 1 species